AUACGGAGGUGGCGAGCGUUGUUCGGAUUUAUUGGGCGUAAAGGGUCCGUAGGCGGUUUAGAAAGUCGGAUGUGAAAUCCCAGAGCUCAACUCUGGAACUGCAUUCGAAACUUCUAGACUCGAGUGUGAGAGGGGUGAAGGGAAUUCCCGGUGUAAGGGUGAAAUCUGCAGAGAUCGGGAAGAACACCAGUCGCGAAGGCGCUUCACUGGCUCACAACUGACGCUGAGGGACGAAAGCUAGGGUAGCCAACGGGAUUAGAAACCCCAGUAGUCC
rnacentral:rRNA from 1 species